rnacentral:rRNA from 1 species
UACGUAGGGGGCAAGCGUUGUCCGGAAUCAUUGGGCGUAAAGAGCGCGUAGGCGGCCCAGUAAGUCCGCUCUGAAAGUCAGGGGCUCAACCCCUGGAUGCGGGUGGAUACUGCUGGGCUAGAGUCCGGAAGAGGCGAGUGGAAUUCCUGGUGUAGCGGUGAAAUGCGCAGAUAUCAGGAGGAACACCAAUUGCGAAGGCAGCUCGCUGGGACGUUACUGACGCUGAGACGCGAAAGCGUGGGGAGCAAACAGG